rnacentral:lncRNA from 1 species
CUUGACCUCUCCUUUUUCUUUUUUUUCUUCUAUUUUUUUCUCCCUUUUUUUUUGACUUCGAUUUUUUUGAUUUUUGAUUUUUGAUUUUGUUUUGUUUUUUUUUUGUUUUUCCUUUUUUUUUGAGUCUGAACUCAUGAGAUCAGGCAAGUCCUGGUCAUGCUUUUCGACCAAAAUCAAUGUUAUUCUAAAGUCUUCCACUUUCAUCUUGUAUGUGAAAAUUCUUCAUUGGUAUCAGAUUUCUUUCAUAGAGCCCUUUUGAGACGCAACUACGACAGAAAACUUUGG